rnacentral:rRNA from 1 species
CCUACGGGUGGCAGCAGUGAGGAAUAUUGGUCAAUGGGCGCGAGCCUGAACCAGCCAAGUAGCGUGAAGGAUGACUGCCCUACUGGUUGUAAACUUCUUUUAUAAAGGAAUAAAGUGAGGCACGUGUGCCUUUUUGUAUGUACUUUAUGAAUAAGGAUCGGCUAACUCCGUGCCAGCAGCCGCGGUAAUACGUAGGAUCCGAGCGUUAUCCGGAUUUAUUGGGUUUAAAGGGAGCGUAGAUGGGUUGUUAAGUUAGUUGUGAAAGUCUGCGGCUCAACCGUAAAAUUGCAAGUGAUACUGGCAGACUUGAGUACAGUUGAGGUAGGCGGAAUGCGUGGUGUAGCGGUGAAAUGCUUCGAUAGCACGAAGAACUCCGAUUGCGAAGGCAGCUUACUAAACUGCCACUGACAUUGAUGCUCGAAAGUGUGGGUAUCAAACAGGAUUAGAUACCCCGGUAGUC